rnacentral:misc_RNA from 1 species
UAAUAAGUGUUUUAUGGCACUUUUUAAAUCCAUAUCCACCUUGUGUGCAAUGUCCGGUCGAUCUUCUUCAUGGAGAUCGACCAAACAUCAACCUUUAUCUUUUAACUCUUUGUCUGAAAAAUAUUAUGAAUAAACAAUUCAAAAUAC